rnacentral:rRNA from 1 species
UACGAAGGGGGCUAGCGUUGUUCGGAUUUACUGGGCGUAAAGCGCACGUAGGCGGAUCGUUAAGUCGGGGGUGAAAUCCUGGAGCUCAACUCCAGAACUGCCUUCGAUACUGGCGAUCUUGAGUCCGGAAGAGGUGAGUGGAACUCCUAGUGUAGAGGUGGAAUUCGUAGAUAUUCGGAAGAACACCAGUGGCGAAGGCGACUCGCUGGACAAGUAUUGACGCUGAGGUGCGAAAGCGUGGGGAGCAAACAGG